CGCGGAGGCUGCACAAUGCCUGGAGUUACUGUAAAAGACAUGAACCAGCAGGAGUUUGUCAGAGCUCUGGCAGCCUUUCUAAAAAGGCCGGGAAGCUGAAAGUCCCUGAAUGGGUGGACACCGUCAAGCUGGCUAAGCACAAAGAGCUUGCUCCCUACAGUGAGAACUGGUUCUACACGCGAGCUGCUUCCACAGCGCAGCACCUAUACCUCCGGGGUGGUGCUGGGGUUGGCUCCAUGACCAAGAUCUAUGGGGGACAUCAGAGAAAUGGCGUCAUGCCCAGCCACUUCAGCCAAGGCUCCAAGAGUGUGGCCCACCGGGUCCUCCAAGCCCUGGAGGGGCUGCGAAUGGUGGAAAAGGACCAAGAUGGGGGCUACAAACUGACACCUCAGGGACAGAGAGAUCUGGACAGAAUCGCCGGACAGGUGGCAGCUGCCAACAAGAAGCAUUAGAACAAAUCAUCCU